AGGAAGGAAGGAAGGAAGGGACAGUGGCUGCAUAAGGAUCUUCAGCAUUUCUUGGUGUGGUAAAUGGUCAGAAUUCUACAGUCAACUUGGUGAAGAAUUGAGGAGACUGAAGGUUGAGGGAAACUUGAGCUGAGCCCCUUCCUUAUCUUGCAAGGGCUUGAGCAAAGGCUGAGGACUGCAGGAUGUCUGUAAUGUGGGGCACAGAAGAGCACCUGCACAUCUCUACCAGCCUCUUCACUGUGUGAACAGGUCUUCUUGCAAAUCUGGUCCCAUAAGGAGAUAAGGAUGUGCACAAAGUCUCUCUGGUGAAGGUCAGAUAGCUUUUAUUGCCACCUCAGCAUGUGGAAGAGGAGCAAAGUGUUCAUUCUACCUCCUGUGUCAAGUAUCAAUUCUGACAGAAAGUAACCAAGACCCUCAUUAAACUCCAUUUCCAUAUUAAGUUUCAUACCCCUAAGAAUUCAAGUGAAAUAAAAGAGGACAUGAAACACAUGUGUGACCAAAGUUCCCAGAACUCCAGCUGUCAGAUGUAAUUUUUCCACCUCACCAUCAAGAUUCAAAAUUUAUAGCAUAAAAGGGGGAAUUUGGGGCAAAAAGGACAGAGGGGGACAAAACCUUGGCUCGGGAUCAGCUGAUAGACUGUGUCCUUCCUCCUCUCCUGAAGAGACACUUUUAGGUGAAAUUUGCCCUUCAUUGGAGCAGAGGUGGAAAUAUUUAUUUUUAUAUUUAUAUUGUUAGUAGAUCUCUGUUACUAUGCUUUCUGUGGCAAUCUCUGUAGUCAGUGCAUUUAUCACCAGCAAUUCUGAGCAUGCUUUUCUGUCCCUUCAAUAAUCUGUACUGUGACUCUGCAUCGUGCAGGUCCUUACUGAGCACGGUUACAGUGCUGAAUGGGCCGUGGUCAGAAAUCACAGCUCACUGAUCUCUGAAAAGCAGCUGGAGCACAGGGGGUUGAUGGUCUGACAGUUUUCUGUGCCCUGAACACAGCAGGUUGUAUGAUGCCCUCCCCAGCACAUUGGUCCUGCUGAUUCCAUGGCAAACAUGUCAGACCAUCUCAUUAAUUUAGCUGGAAAUUAAUUAAAAUGCUUUAUGCGUGUAUUUCUCUCCUUGCCAGUUUUUUUUCCAGUCAGAUUAGAGAGCUAAGUCAUCUCACCAGAAGCUCGGAGUAGUGAUAAUCCUAAAAGAAGCACUAAAAAUUAUACGUUAAAAAUGUGAGCACCACAUUCCAUGAUGCUUCAUCAGAUCUUAUACAUCUUUGAAGACAACUCAACUUUGGAGUCCUUUUUUUCUUUAACAUCAAUACAUUUUGGAAUGAGUAUGACACUAAACCUGCAUAGAUUAAGUGUUAAUUGCAUAAUUCACAGAACUGUAUUGUUGCUGGAUGCUAAAGUCCCUGUUCUAUGUACCAGAUACCUGAUUUGGAAGUCAGAAAAUCGCAGGUCUAGCUUAGAAAUCACUGCAAUUACUUUUGUUAGAAUGGGGAAAAUGUAUUUUCUACAAGUGGAGACACUAAGCUUUUAGAAAAUGAAAUAGGUAGAAAAGGAUAAAUGUUGGGAAUAUGAAUGGGGGGAAAAAGACUACAGAUUUGUUCCUUUGCCUUGAGAAUGCUUACUGUAGUACAGGAAUUUUAGGUACAGCCUUGAUUUUAGUACAAGGGGUUGUGUUCCAAAACGUCUGCAAUAAAGGAUCUACUAUUUGUUUUGGCCAAACAACAGAAUAGUUCAUUCAAAAUAAUUAAUUAGUGCUUACUAUCCAGUCUCCUCUCAUUCUCCCAUGAAAGAUAAGAAAGAUUUCUACAAAAGUACAUCUACCCAUUGCCACUUUACUGUAGUCUUGACAGUCAGGCUCCAGUCCAUAAUUUGAAAAGCAUCCUUCUUUAAUUUGUCAUUUUAAUCUCCUUUCACACAGGUAUAAACAUUCUCUUUGGAUAAUUGAACUCUAUUUGCUUACCCUGCUGUUGGUUUUGUUAUCAGAUGCUGUUUGUCUACCUGCAAGACCUGGCAGAGGUUCAAGGAAAGUUUUUUUUUGAGUUUGCUGCCAGAAGAUCUUAAGGUGAACACCCUCUGGGGGUAGCAGCUGUAAGCUUGUUCAAAAUUAAACAAAAACUGCAUUGGUAGACAAAAUAAAACAGUGAUUUUUUUUUUUUGCCACCACUGAGGCCAUCAGUAUUCAUACUUUUAGUCUUUGAUAAUGAAGGUUUGGAAAUGCUUGACAAAUUCUUUUUGAAAGUGAUUGCUAUUUUUUUUCUUGAUUCUUUCACUAGUUUUCUGCAGGCCAUAAUUUAGGAGAAAUGGAAUUAACACUGGUGCCAAAAUGGCUACAUGAAAGACAGCUGCCUUAGAAGUUACUCAGUUUUGAUUUAUUUUCCAAUUUCAUGUAAGGAGAUGAGAAAUAAAUUGAAAUUAACCAAUUACAGUAAUAAUUUUUUCACUACCUCUAUGUGAUAAAAUGCCAUCUUAAUACUGUGUUGACUCCUGCACAGACAUUCAAAAAUUUAAAGAAUUAGGGAAUCUAAAGAUUACUUUAAAGUUUUUUGUUCUUAUGUCUAAAUUACUAAAGGAACUAGAAAUCUUCUUUUUUUUCUCUUGAUAUUUUUUUUUCUUCUUUGUUUAACCUUAGAAAAAAUUAGAGUGUUUCUGGUAAUAUCUUCCUACUAUCUUCCUGUGCACUGAAUUUUAGGAGGCAAGUUAAUUCUUACAUUUUUUCUCUUUCCUUCUAUAAAGACUGCAUGAAGUAGCUAGUACUGCUCAAAUUAUAUAGAAUGCAUUCCAGAAAAUUAUGUAGUGAUAAACAGAAGGAAAUAUUUAGUGGUGAUUUUAUCACAUUUUUUUGGCUGUUUUGGAAACAUCAGUAACAACUUGGUAGCUGAAGUCUAACCUCUUGCUUAGAAAAUAUACAACAUUUUUCUCCUACACAUUCGUUUCCAUGUUUUUUUUUCAUUAGUUUUGAGAGGGAGAUGCUUCUUGCUGGCUAAAUCUGGUUUGAAUUUCACACGUAUUUGAAACUGUACUUUAUGUUUGCCAGUUCCACAUUCCGCAUUAUAAAAAUUAACUGAAGAAAUCAUGAUCUUGUUCCAUUCAUUGCUCUGCAAAGUUCUGAGAACAUUUGCUGUUUCUGAAAAUGUGUGUAUAUGUGUCAAUUAGAAAACUAAUGAUUGCUGUGAUGGGAAUGUUGAGGAGAUAGAUAAGCCAAUUUUAACCUCUUAAACAACAUUUUAUUUGACUCUCAUUCUUUAGCUGCACACUUCAUGCUAAUGCUUAGUUCAUAUCCAGCCCAGUCAAGCCGCUGCCCUCUGGAUGUGGCUGUCCAAGAAAUGCCUCAUCCACCGAACAGCCCACCCACCAAAUUCAUCUCUGGGCAAUUUAAAGGAAAGGAUGCUGUGGGGGACCAAAGCAAAAGCCAUACAGAAGUGCAAAGAUUACAUUCACAGUCCUUCCCUUGCCCACUGCUGUGGCCAGCACAGGGAUGUUUGUGGCUACAAUACAUCUCUGCCUGAGUUUCAUUUUUCAUGCAUGUCUCCAGUGGAGGGAAUGUUUGGAGCAGGUUUAGAAAGCAGGAACUGGCCAAAUGGAUCUGCACCUGUCUCCCAACAACCCAAGUGCUGCUCUUGAGCUGUUGUGACAGCCUGCAACAUCUACAUGCCCAAAGAAUUGUUUCUGCUACUCCUGGGAUGAAAAAAUACUUUCUGGUCUGGAAAACCAAAGUCAGAGGAAGCAAGAAGAACAAGACCAAGACAGUUUGAGUGCAGCUUUUUCCUGGGAAAAGAAUUAAAGAUUGAUUGAUCUUCUGCUGUACACUUCAUCAAUUUUUGUCUUAUUUCCCCUUAUAAAUCAACAAAGACCAUCAUACAAAUGCCAGAGUGCCUGUUGAUAACAGCAUGGAGAUGUACUCUGAUAAAUUUUUAAGGUCCUGUCAUCUUGCUGUGUAGAAGCUUUGAAUUUUAAUCUGGGGAAAUCUGAGCUUUAUUUUGAUGUUUGUCUAGUGCCAAACACAUAGAUUCUGCUUUUUGACUAGGGAUUUUUGCUGUAAAUAAGAUGAAAAUAAUAAUUAAUACAGUGUUGCAUUGUAAAAUGAGAGUGGUUGCACUGAAUCCAGGACUAAUAUGGGCUGAAUGAGAAGAUGGAAUGAAAUCUUUAUGUUGAGAUGAGUAAACAAAAUCCCAUCACACUUCAGCUAUUCAUUCUCCUUAGGACUAUCCUUUAUCAGCAGGUAAGUAAUAUUUGUACUGUGUAGGUUUGAUGAUAAAGAAGACAUUGUUAACUUUUCACAAGAGAUUGCUUUCCCCUACAGUGGAAAUGUAUUCUAUAGUUGAGAUCACUCUGACAGGUUUUUAAUUAGUCCUCGUGUUAAGAAGAGAUUCUUUUCUGUGCUGAAAGCAUGUGGGUUAGGUUUUUCACUUGUAUCUAGGGGUAAAGGACAGGGAAAGGCUGCUGGACUUCUUUCACUUGAACAGACAAGAGGAAAAGGCAUAAACUGUCAGACUCUGUCUGCCUGAUAUCAAAGUUACUGAAACAGGAAAAGCAUUUGAGUAAACAGAGUUUUUAAUUGCAUAAACUCUGAAAAUCUGACAGUUAUGGAAUUCAUCAUUAAAAGUAAUAAAUGAUGCAUCAGCUUCUGAAAAAUAGAAUUUUUUGUCUUUAUUUGGUAUUAGUCAGAACCAUUUUUAUUAAUUCAUACAUUAAUGCUUAGCAGGUACAAAGUGUUUUCCUUGAUAACAGAUUUUUUGUAGGUGGCAAGUUCAUCAAAAUUUAAUUGGGGCACUUUAAAUUAUCUGACUGUGGAAUAUUUUUAGUAUGUUCAAUCAAAAUCAGACUUGUCUUUUGAAAUGUUUUAAUAUCCUGAAAUCAUAUGCCCUUAGAUGUUAACCCUUCUAUAAACUAUCUUUAUGCUUUAAGGAAAGCAAUUUUAAAGUUUUUUUGUUGGACUUGUUCAAAUUCUUUAUAUUUUCUAAAUGUCAUGUUGAGACGAGCUCUUUGAAGUUAAUUCAUGCAAUAAAUAACAUUUGGUUUUGCCAAUCCUCAUUUUAAAGUCAUUAACAAGAAUACUUCAAACACAGGUAAUGAAAGGCAAAUGCAUUUGAAUUGGAUAUUGGCUGUUCACUGUCUUCUCUCCCCUACACCAAGGUGCACACACAAAUCACAACCCCAAAGAAAGUUUUUUGAUUUGGAGACCAGGUAAUGGCUCUGUUAUAAAAAACAAGAGACUGUGGUCUUAGCCCACUUAGAUUUUUAUGGUGUGUAUCCAUUUCCCCACAGAACCUGAGCUGAAGAUUUUGUGACCAGAGCAUCUCCCAAGGAGAAAACCGCCCUCUGGAUACCCCAGUGCUACUGCCAAAGGCAUAAAAUCCAGUGCUGCUUCUCAUCAUCUAAGUCCCUCCUGCUACCUAAUGUGACAUAUUUUAAUGGUGUUAUUUUAAAGGAAUUAUCUGUAAAACACAGGAAUUUCUGGUAUUGUUUCAGUUGUCCUAAAUUCUCAGCUUUUGGAUUACUCAUGGCUACAGUUGUUUAUGCCAUUGAAUGAGUGGUGAUAUUAAUACAGACAAAAUUGUCUGAGAUUUACAUAAAUUAUUUUCAAAGAGUAGUGAGUUUAAUGGAAUCUUAUGUAAAUUUAAAAGAGAACAAAUGUUGCAGGAAAGACCAAACACUUAGCAGCUAGCUGGACUUGCUAGGGUAGAACAUAAGACUGUACCUCUUGGAAAAAGUUCUAUAUUUAAUUGCUUAAGGAUUUUCAUAAGCAUUAAGAAACUGUCCUUCACAUUUAAAAAAAAUUAAAAGCUUUAGACAACAAAGUAAAUCGGGGAUUUCAGAAGCAAAGCAGCACUGGUGUUCCAGCCAUCUCCCUUGCUGCCUUUUAUAUUCAAGGUGUGUAAAUCUUGGAUGGCCUGACUGAUGUGAAGGGCAGCUCACCAGGGGCCCGUUAGCAGCUGAUGAUAAAAGCCACCAGGACAUCCUUUGGUACCGCAGAGCUCUCCUGCCUCUGACUGUUCUUCUUGGAAAAUGUGGGGAGAGUUGUUCCAGCCAUGAUAAUUCCGCUGCUGAUGACCAGAGAGCUGUUAUUUAUAGAGACUGCUGCAGUUCUGCACUGGCCACAUCCUGCCCAUCCUGGUCACGGUGCCCUGCAGUGCCACAAUCAGCCACACUCUGCUCCAGCUCAGGACUUACUUGUGAGCAUCAGCAUUUCUUCUCCUCUAUGGACUCUCUGCUAAGCUCUGUUUUGCUGACCAUUUAUUUUUAGCCCCCUCGUCAGCCAUGAGGGAUUGAUCUAGAAGGAGCACAAUGAAUAAACACAAGAAAAGUCUGUUUCUGUUAAGCAGGGUUUCAUAGCAGUCUGCCUACUUGCAAAGCUACUAUCAGAAUAUCUGAUGAAAAGAUCUUUAAUCAAUGGAUAUUAUUCUCACUUCUGACCUGGCUGACCAGGCUGUCUGUUAAUGGGAAUUUCACCAGAAAAACUCCCAUUACUCUGACAAGACCCCUUUUUCAGAAAUAGAAGACAGAUGCUUCCAGAUUUCAGAAAGAGCUUAGCAAAUGGAACAAAGUCCUACAAGUAAAAAUAAAAACUUAAAGAGCCAAAGGAAUUCUUUAGGGGAAAAAAAACCCACCUGCUAAUAAGAAAAUAAUCAGUACAAAUAGAAAUAUCAAUUAUUUUCUUCCAAACAAGACAUGAUUUUAUCAAUUGAGUUUCUCAUAAGUUUUCACUUUAAAAAUUUCCAAAAUAUUGAAAUAACAUUGAAGGCAAAAUUAAGAUUUGUUAUAACAAAGAAAGUCAAGUUCUGUCAGAAAUAUUACUGGAGGAAGCUCUGCAUGUGAAAACUAGGAUCUUCUGUCAUUUGUUGUUCAAAUCUUUCUGACACCAUUUUUCUGAAAAGCCAGCAAACAUGAAAUAGCCAAAAUUCCUCCAUUUUGAAAUUCAUAGGAAUGUUGUGUACUUUUAAAUAGAGUUUAAGGAAUAUUUCUACUUAGUCUAAAAUAAAAAUAACACCAUCUGCAGCCUUACUAGAGGCAAUUCUUUUACCCCUCUAACAAGAAUCAGAUCAGGAAAGAAAUACAAGGUUUUACAAGUUUUCUCCUUCUCUGUUUACCGCUCCAUUAUAUCAACAUUUUUGUAACAACUUCAGUGCAGUUAAUUUGGUCAUUGAAAAUCCAUGAAUGGCAUGGAUUUUCCUGUGUCACUUCUUUUUUGGGUAUAACAUUUCAGGAGCAGUCAUUCAGCUGUUCUGCCUCCUCCACUUCCAUCAUCAUUCUUUGUCCUUGUUUAGAACAUCCUCUGUCUCGACUGCAACAGUCUCAGUUAUUUUGUAUUUUGAAGUUGUGAUUUGUUCCUAGGGGUAGUUUUUAAAGAUGUGUGAAUUAGGUAUCUGCUACCCCUGCUUACUAUGACUCUCUAGACUGGGGUUUUUUAAAAACUCAUUCCAUCUACAGUGAAAUACUUAAAUUAUUUUGAAUCCCUUGUGUAAACACAGUGAUCUUGUGAUGCAGCUUCAGCAACAGACCUAUGUGCAACCCAUGUCAUCCACCUUUAUUACACAGUGAAAGAAUUGAUCAGGGAAGGAAGAAAAUUUCAUUUUCAUAUGGUUUGCUGAAAGUUCAAUAACAUUCACAGAACAGCCAGUACCCUGAAGGUUUCUCCAGACCAAAAUGUUCAUUUUGUAUGGAGAAGAUGCAUAAAGAAUAGGAGAUUAUGCAAGGGAAAAGAUACUUACUGCAGAGUAACUGCAAUUCCUUGACAAAAUUCCCCAAGAGGCCAGGCUGGAGUUUUUGCUGUGUGAACCUUCUCCAUCUGGUUUGAGGAGCUCUACAGGAACCCAUGUCAUGGUUCUUUACUAUGGAGGCUAAAAUGAAAAAGGGUGAAAACACUGUCUGAACCCGUGACUAGAUUGGGAGCUACUUGUAGGAACAGACUUAUUCUACCAAAGCAUUGCAUGUGUCACAAGGUUAAAAAAUGCAUCUCAAGUGGUGAUGGUGCUUGAACUUCAGAAGCUAAUUUCAGAAAAUUUACAUUUAAGUCCCAGAAGUCUGUGUGCUGCUGCAGAAAGUGAAGCAAUAUCAGUCCUGAAAAGUUAACAUUAUAACAACAAAACAUCAAGGGAGACCCCAAGAGGGAAGCAAUGCAGAAAAUGUUGAUACCAUAAACCAAGAAUUUUCAGGCUGUCUUUGAAAUAGUUUAAAAUGAUUGCACAGAACAAGAAGUGGGAAAAAAUGUAAGAAAACACAUUUGUGCGCUCUUUAUAGGAUUUUACCUCUUUGACAACUCUGCUUCUCAGAGCUGAAGUAGUUUAGAGGGUGUUUAAGUAAUUACUGGAAAUAGAGUUGCUUACUGUAUUUCAUCUUACACAUGACUGUGCACCCUUCAAGAACUGCAAUUGCAUAUAGAAUAUGGAAUUAAUGUGGUCCUUACCCAAAAAAAGUCCUAAAAAUUCUUAGUGGACAAUUGGUUGCAGUUAAAGUUAGACAUUUUGAAUGCGUAGAAUAAAAUUUACAGCUUUUUCUACUUGCAAUGUUAAAUCUGCAGAUGGCAGCUCCUCUGUCUCUUCAAGUGGAAUGGCACGAGCAGAAUCAUUCAGCAGAGAGUUUAUAUUAUUAUCUCAGCAUGGUGAAUAAUUGCAAGCAUCAAAAUCAGCACUUCUAAAAGAAGUGACUUCAGAAGACUUCAAGAACAUUCCAGGUUUUUCAGCAUAUGUGACUAAAAACCUUCUUUAAAUGUUGCACCAUUUCUGAGCCAUCUGGCCCAGAUGCAGAGCUCCACAGAGUGGUCCCACCAUUAUUUCUGUGACAGAUUCCAGAACCAGCUGCCCAGCACCACUGCCUAAAUGCUUCCUUUUGGAAUCAUCCACCAUGCAAAAGUACAUCACUCAUGGCAAUUAUGGCCAGUAAAUUUAUUUUGUGAAGCUGGUUAUGUCAACAUUUCCUGCUCUUCUCCUCCCCAUGUAAUCUCAGAAUUACUGAUAUAUUUGUGGUUCUGCAUGUGUUAAGACUAAAAUUACACUGUAUGUGCCCUAUUUGUGACCCUGUGCAUCCCACAAGAGAGGAUGGCCUAUGGAUCCCUGUUCUAUGACACUUCAAGGAGAAAUCCCAGGGAGAGUGAGGAAUUGCAAGUGAUAAAAGCACUGCAUUCCAUUUCCCCCUUUCAUUAUCAUCACAAAUUCCCAUAGUGUUCCAUAAAUUUAUCUUUCAGAAUGCCUCACUUUCCCUGUCAUUGCCUGGGAUUUUUGUUGCUUGCUUAUUUUCAGCAGUCCCCCCAUGUUUGUGUUUUAUGGUGCAUUUUGUUUUGCUCAUUUCAUAGCAAAUAUACAUAAAUAUUUAAACACUGUAGAAAUUUCCUUUCUGCUAUGAGUGAUAGAUACUCUGGGAGAUGAGAGUUGUAGGGACAAUGCUCUCAGGUACAUGGUGUGAUUCUUGGGGUGUCCUGUGCAAGGCCAGGAGUUGGACUGGGUGGUUCUUGUGAGUCCCUUCCAACUCAGCAUAUUCUGUGAAAUCAGAUGCUAUUCUUCUCCUCGUUGCAAACUUCAAAUUUACAAAAAAAAAAAAAAAAAAAAAAAAAGCCACCCAAAAAAACCCAAAAAACAAAUAAACAAAAACAAACAAAAAAAAAACCAAACCAAAAAACCCAAAAAAACCACUUAUUCAAGGGCAUAUUGUAACUUCCUAAUGUAAUAGCUCACUACAUCACAGAAGGAAUGAGUUCUUCAGGAAUAACAGUACACCUUUCCACACCUUUUCAAAGGUGACCUAUACUUUGAAAUUUUUGCCCCUCUAUAAAGACUUUUUAAUGAAAUCUGAGUAAAACAUAAUAUGUUGCUUUGUAGGUGGGUUUUGAAAUACCACUUUUGAAAUAAUUAACUGUAUACAUUUUCUUUAAUCUUAGAAAUUGGCACAUGCAGGACUGCAAGGAGAGCAAUUUCUGUUGUUUGUAGUUGUCCAGCCCAGGCUGGAAGUUAAUGGAGUUUUGCAAUCCAAUUUUGGAACCUGUCUCCAUAUGAAAUCAAUAAGUCAUUAUAUUCUUACCUGUGCUUCUUUGAAAGCACAUGCAGGGGUUAGCAAAUAACAAUUCACUAUUUCAGAUUUUAGUACCUUCUCAUUAGAAUCCAGUGCAUGUUAACAUCAAAUUUUGUCUUAUCUUUGCUUUAUUAGUUUACAUAGACACAGCUUACUGUCAGCAUAAAUAUUUUUGUACUUAAAUUUCUGCCAUUAAGGUAUAUUAAGACUUAUUAACAAAGGAAAUGCCGUGCAUUAGAGGCAUGAGCUCAGAAAAACCAUGAUUAAAAACUAAUUUUUUUUUCUGUGAUUUUUUUUUUUUCAAUCAUUUUCCUUAAAAGAGGAUAAAAGUUUAAGUGGUUUUUUGGGAGGUUGGGGUUGUUGGGUUUCUUGCAGAAAAAUGUGCAUCAGGGUAUUUUUUCCUGACAAUGUAGGUAUAGAACAGACUUGAGACUACUGAGCAGGUCUGAAAGCUUAAAGCAUUUAUAUGUUAUUUUGGGCACCUGUGUGUUGAAAUAAUUGUUUUGCUUAAUUUAUUGCAUCUUAAACCCAAGCCAUUUCUGUUUAUAAUUAGCAAUGUUUUUUUGCUAAAUCUACCUAUUCUUGGCUGCAGACAUGAGGUUGUCAUAUCCAUUAUUUGAGUUAGUAAGAUGCAAAGCAUUUGAUUUUUUUUUUUAAAUCUUUUUUUCUAUUGGUUGGGGUUUGAUUUUUUUUCCAAAACAGAACUGGAAUGGAGUUGUAGAUACUCUUACCUGAUUAAUUUCAGAAUUGUUUCAAGACACUGAUUUCAAUAAAAUAAAAGGAAAA